CCUACGGGAGGCAGCAGUGGGGAAUAUUGCGCAAUGGGCGAAAGCCUGACGCAGCAACGCCGCGUGUGUGAUGAAGGCCUUCGGGUUGUAAAGCACUGUCAGGAGGGGCGAACAGGCAGGUGAGUAACUGCUCCUGCCCCGACGGUACCUCCAGAGGAAGCACCGGCUAACUCCGUGCCAGCAGCCGCGGUAAUACGGAGGGUGCUAGCGUUGUUCGGAAUCAUUGGGCGUAAAGGGCGCGUAGGCGGUCCGUCAAGUCAGGUGUGAAAUCCCUCGGCUCAACUGAGGAAUUGCGCUUGAAACUGGCAGACUGGAGUACGGGAGAGGGAAGCGGAAUUCCGAGUGUAGAGGUGAAAUUCGUAGAUAUUCGGAGGAACACCGGUGGCGAAGGCGGCUUCCUGGACCGAUACUGACGCUGAGGCGCGAAAGCGUGGGGAGCAAACAGGAUUAGAUACCCUGGUAGUCCACGCUGUAAACGAUGAGUGCUAGGUGUCACGGGUAUUGACCCCUGUGGUACCGCAGCUAACGCAUUAAGCACUCCGCCUGGGGAGUACGGCCGCGAGGUUAAAACUCAAAGG
rnacentral:rRNA from 1 species